AACGAACGCUGGCGGCAGGCCUAACACAUGCAAGUCGAGCGAGGACUUCGGUCCUAGCGGCGGACGGGUGAGUAACGCGUGGGAACGUGCCCUUUGGUACGGAAUAGCCCCGGGAAACUGGGAGUAAUACCGUAUGGUGUCUUCGGACUAAAGAUUUAUCGCCAAAGGAUCGGCCCGCGUUGGAUUAGGUAGUUGGUGGGGUAAUGGCCUACCAAGCCGACGAUCCAUAGCUGGUUUGAGAGGAUGAUCAGCCACACUGGGACUGAGACACGGCCCAGACUCCUACGGGAGGCAGCAGUGGGGAAUCUUAGACAAUGGGGGCAACCCUGAUCUAGCCAUGCCGCGUGAGUGAUGAAGGCCCUAGGGUUGUAAAGCUCUUUCAGCUGGGAAGAUAAUGACGGUACCAGCAGAAGAAGCCCCGGCUAACUCCGUG
rnacentral:rRNA from 1 species